rnacentral:rRNA from 1 species
UACGUAGGGUGCAGGCGUUAAUCGGAAUUACUGGGCGUAAAGCGUGCGCAGGCGGUUGUGUAAGACAGAUGUGAAAUCCCCGGGCUCAACCUGGGAACUGCAUUUGUGACUGCACGGCUGGAGUGCGGCAGAGGGGGAUGGAAUUCCGCGUGUAGCAGUGAAAUGCGUAGAUAUGCGGAGGAACACCGAUGGCGAAGGCAAUCCCCUGGGCCUGCACUGACGCUCAUGCACGAAAGCGUGGGGAGCAAACAGG